CCUACGGGAGGCAGCAGUAGGGAAUCUUCCGCAAUGGACGAAAGUCUGACGGACAACCCGCGUGAGCGAUGAAGCCUUCGGGUCGUAAAGCUCUGUUGUCAGGGAAGAACAAGUACCGGAGUANCGCCGGUCCUUGACGGUACCUGACCAGAAAGCCACGGCUAACUACGUGNCAGCAGCGCGGUAAUACGUAGGUGGCAAGCGUUGUCCGGAAUUAUUGGGCGUAAAGCGCGCGCANGCGGUUCCUUAGUCUGAUGUGAAACCCCCGGCUCAACCGGGGAGGGUCAUUGNAAACUGGGGAACUUGAUGCAGAAGAAGAGAGCGGAAUUCCCNUGUACGGUGAAAUGCGUGUAGAGAUGUGGAGGAACACCAGUGGCGAAGGCGGCUCUCUGGUCUGUAACUGACGCUGAGGCGCGAAAGCGUGGGGAGCGAACAGGAUUAGAUACCCUGGUAGUCCACGCCGUAAACGAUGAGUGCUAAGUGUUAGAGGGUUUCCGCCCUUUAGUGCUGCAGCAAACGCAUUAAGCACUCCGCCUGGGGAGUACGGCCGCAAGGCUGAAA
rnacentral:rRNA from 1 species